AGAGUUUGAUCCUGGCUCAGGAUGAACGCCGGCGGUGUGCCUAAUACAUGCAAGUCGUACGCACUGGCCCAACUGAUUGAUGGUGCUUGCACCUGAUUGACGAUGGAUCACCAGUGAGUGGCGGACGGGUGAGUAACACGUAGGUAACCUGCCUCGGAGCGGGGGAUAACAUUUGGAAACAGAUGCUAAUACCGCAUAACAACAAAAGCCACAUGGCUUUUGUUUGAAAGAUGGCUUUGGCUAUCACUCUGGGAUGGACCUGCGGUGCAUUAGCUAGUUGGUAAGGUAACGGCUUACCAAGGCAAUGAUGCAUAGCCGAGUUGAGAGACUGAUCGGCCACAAUGGAACUGAGACACGGUCCAUACUCCUACGGGAGGCAGCAGUAGGGAAUCUUCCACAAUGGGCGCAAGCCUGAUGGAGCAACACCGCGUGAGUGAAGAAGGGUUUCGGCUCGUAAAGCUCUGUUGUUGGAGAAGAACGUGCGUGAGAGUAACUGUUCACGCAGUGACGGUAUCCAACCAGAAAGUCACGGCUAACUACGUGCCAGCAGCCGCGGUAAUACGUAGGUGGCAAGCGUUAUCCGGAUUUAUUGGGCGUAAAGCGAGCGCAGGCGGUUGCUUAGGUCUGAUGUGAAAGCCUUCGGCUUAACCGAAGAAGUGCAUCGGAAACCGGGCGACUUGAGUGCAGAAGAGGACAGUGGAACUCCAUGUGUAGCGGUGGAAUGCGUAGAUAUAUGGAAGAACACCAGUGGCGAAGGCGGCUGUCUGGUCUGCAACUGACGCUGAGGCUCGAAAGCAUGGGUAGCGAACAGGAUUAGAUACCCUGGUAGUCCAUGCCGUAAACGAUGAGUGCUAGGUGUUGGAGGGUUUCCGCCCUUCAGUGCCGGAGCUAACGCAUUAAGCACUCCGCCUGGGGAGUACGACCGCAAGGUUGAAACUCAAAGGAAUUGACGGGGGCCCGCACAAGCGGUGGAGCAUGUGGUUUAAUUCGAAGCUACGCGAAGAACCUUACCAGGUCUUGACAUCUUGCGCUAACCUUAGAGAUAAGGCGUUCCCUUCGGGGACGCAAUGACAGGUGGUGCAUGGUCGUCGUCAGCUCGUGUCGUGAGAUGUUGGGUUAAGUCCCGCAACGAGCGCAACCCUUGUUACUAGUUGCCAGCAUUAAGUUGGGCACUCUAGUGAGACUGCCGGUGACAAACCGGAGGAAGGUGGGGACGACGUCAGAUCAUCAUGCCCCUUAUGACCUGGGCUACACACGUGCUACAAUGGACGGUACAACGAGUCGCAAGCUCGCGAGAGUAAGCUAAUCUCUUAAAGCCGUUCUCAGUUCGGACUGUAGGCUGCAACUCGCAUACACGAAGUCGGAAUCGCUAGUAAUCGCGGAUCAGCAUGCCGCGGUGAAUACGUUCCCGGGCCUUGCACUCACCGCCCGUCA
rnacentral:rRNA from 1 species